ACACGGGAAAGUGCUACACGGCUUGCUCCCUUCGAAUUCCCCCAGGGCUUGACCGCAGCAAGGGUGGUUGGUUGUAGCAGCGCGAUGUAGUGAGCUUUCCCUC
rnacentral:SRP_RNA from 1 species